GAUCGUGAGGGUUGAGAAGAGGUCGGGGCAUAUUUGAGGAUGUCUAUGUUAAAUCGAUUAUGGUACUCAGAAUUCACAGAGAAAGUUACUCUUUUUAACAACGAUUGAUUCAAAGAUGAACAAGUGGAUUAUGGAUCGCAAGGUAGGCGAGGCUUGUCAUCAAAAGAGGUGGGAACUCUGUAAUCUUCUUGUAAUCAUUGAGCUUUCUUUCUAUCCGCGAGCAUGAUGUGUUUUUAAUAUCAGUAUGUAAAAUGUUUGCAAUGAAUGUAAAUAUGUGUGUAAUAUGUGUUGUGUGAAUCCUCCGCAAGAGGUGACCGUAUUUCCCCACGACUUCUUGCUAUGUUCUAUGUAAGCCGGGGAAAGUCGGUUGAAUAUUACGCACUUUACAUUUUUUUAGUAGACCGGGGGAAGCCAGUUAAAUAUUACGUGAAAAAGCGGGGGUCUAACAAUACCACCCAAUAUUUCGCUUA